CGGCACCUUCUGGGAGCUUUUCUUCUCUGUUAACUCCUUCCCGGAGCUGCCUGCAAUCAAAGACCACCAUCUUGAACAGCGAAGAUGAGGAGCAGAGGCCUGGAAGUGGUUUACAAACAGAUGACUAUGGAUGCCCCACAUGUGCUGCUUCAUCUGACUGUUGUGUCAGAGGAAAGAAUGCCACUAUCCUGUCUGAAAAUUCAGCCCAAAGGCUUUCUCUGUACAUCAAAAUAGUUUGCUUCUCUUCCUUCCCUGGCGUGUUUGACCAAGGCCCCAGAGAAUGUGGGCCAAGGGCAUCCCUCCAAUGAGGAAGGAAGCAUUUGUUUUCAUCAUCCACUAUUCCAGCAAAGAAGCAGUUGUAAGCCUCUCUCUGGGGAGAACCCGGCUGCAAAAUCUUUUGUUGAACGAAGCACCUUUCACGUGAAGAAACGGCGGCAAGAUAAAAUGACACAUUGCUAAUGAUGUAUUUUAUGGACUGCCAUCUGUCUCCGGAAAGGUCAGAGAAAAAUGGCAGCUUGGUUGCAGGCGAUUGGGUGGUGGUGGUGGUUGGGGGGACAAAUGGUUCUCGUCGGAACAUGACAAGGAGCCUCGGUGACAUCAUAUAAAUGCCCUAAUUGGGAAGUGGUCAAUCGAGCGGACCUGACUUCUGAAUUUGAUGUGUCAAUAAACAAGCUCAAGGUGAGAUGCUGGAUCA
rnacentral:lncRNA from 1 species